rnacentral:rRNA from 1 species
GAUGAACGCUGGCGGCGUGCCUAAUACAUGCAAGUCGAGCGAAUGGAUUAAGAGCUUGCUCUUAUGAAGUUAGCGGCGGACGGGUGAGUAACACGUGGGUAACCUGCCCAUAAGACUGGGAUAACUCCGGGAAACCGGGGCUAAUACCGGAUAACAUUUUGAACCGCAUGGUUCGAAAUUGAACGGCGGCUUCGGCUGUCACUUAUGGAUGGACCCGCGUCGCAUUAGCUAGUUGGUGAGGUAACGGCUCACCAAGGCAACGAUGCGUAGCCGACCUGAGAGGGUGAUCGGCCACACUGGGACUGAGACACGGCCAGACUCCUACGGGAGGCAGCAGUAGGGAAUCUUCCGCAAUGGACGAAAGUCUGACGGAGCAACGCCGCGUGAGUGAUGAAGGCUUUCGGGUCGUAAAACUCUGUUGUUAGGGAAGAACAAGUGCUAGUUGAAUAAGCUGGCACCUUGACGGUACCUAACCAGAAAGCCACGGCUAACUACGUGCCAGCAGCCGCAGUAA